rnacentral:lncRNA from 1 species
GGGGGAGGGGGAAGCCUGCUCCCGCUCCCCGGCCGAGCCGCCUUGUCCUGUCGCUGAGCCGGGAAAACGAGGCUCAAAACAAUUCAUCUGGAGAAUUGGCUUGUGGGAAAACUGAGCAUCAAGAAACAGCUUCAAGGUCUCACACCUUCAAAAAUAAGUCUUUUAAGAAAUCCAGUAUCUGUGGAUUUUGCGAACAAGUCAUUGACAACCAAGGAAUUUCCUGCAGAGUAAAGCAUUCUCAG